CUAGUUCAGUAUUUGCCAUACUACAUGGAAAUUGUUUCCUCGUGUGCCCAUCUCUCCCCCUAGACUGCAAACUCCUAGAGAAGGGCCCAACAAUGAGUUCUGAGGAAGAAGGCAGAGCAAUGAUGGAAGGCUUCUUAAAGAGAUAACACUAACAAAGUUGACCUGAGAAUUGGAGUGCCUGGGACAGAACCUUGUUGGUAUCACCUGUUUACUGCACACUUUAGAUGUGAGCUCAGAAGAAGAAACUGGCAAGGACAGCAAAGAACAGGAGAACAUUCUAGCUUCCUUGAUAGCAUUCAAGGUGCUGUCCUAACUGACUGGGAUGGCACCCUCCAGACAGACAGCGAUGCCACGUGUUCAAGAUGGCAGAAUCACUAUCAGCUUCAAUUCCUGAAUGACUGCAGAGCAAAAUUUCCUACCUGCAACAUAUAGUCUAUUUGCAACCUCCCUGGACUGUUAAAUAAUGAUAUAUUAAAAUAUUUGUUGUGUUGAGCCAUCCCAAGUUUGAUCUAUUUGUCAUUACAAUCUAUCCUACUAAUAUAUUUCUGAUCAAAAUAAUGCUAGAAUCAUGAGAUUAUAGUCCAGAGUUUUUUUUUUUUUUUUUUUUUUUUUUUUUGAGACAGAAUCUCACUGUCUCCCAGGCUGGGGUGCAGUGGCAUAAUAUCAGCUUACUGCAACCUUCACUCCUGGGCUCAGGUGAUCCUCUCUCCGUAGCCUCCCUGAAUAGCUGGGACCACAGGUGUGCAUCACCAUACUCGGCUAAUUAUUUUGUAUUUUUUUGCAGAGAUGGGGUUUUACCACAUUGCCCAAGCUGGUUUCAAACUCCUCGACUUAAGAGAUCUACCCACCUUGGCCUCCCAAAAUGCUGAAAUUACACAUGUGAGCCAUAGUAAUAGUUCCUAGCCAUAGUCCAGAGAUAUUUCAAAAACUUUAGUGUGAGUUAUUUCUCUUUGCUAUAAUGCUUAUGCUUUUUGAAAUCCUUUUCUGCCAUACCAUGCUUUCUGGGAAGUCAUUUUGGACAGACAUAUCACAGGAUGGAGAAAUUAAAGAGAGAGAGAAUGCAUUAAAAAAAAUAGCAUUUUAUAUUUCAGAAAUUACAAAAGAUGUCUGCCCCAGCAGAAAUAGAAUGGUGGGCAGUCAUUUGUAACCCACUGAACAUGAGUUUCUAAAAUUUAAGUGUUUUUAACUUACCAAAGUCAACUUAUCUGAUGAAGUUAGCACAGUGAUUACUCCAAAUAUGUGAAAUCCAAAUUUCAAACACAAUAGCAGGAAAUUGGAAAUGGAUAGUUCAUUGUUAGUUCAUGCAAAAACUACUGAUUUUCUAUGUUGAUUUUGUAUACUGCAACUUUGUUGAAUUCUCAAUAAAUGGUGUUGGAAAAAUUGGAUGUCCUCAUAAAGAGAAUGAAAUUGAACACAUCACAUCCCAUAUACAAGAAUCAACUCAAAAUGGUUUGAAGACUUAAAUAUAAGAUCUGAAACUAUAAAACUACUAAAAAAAAAAUAAGGAAAUCUCUACACAUUGAUCUGAGCUAUGACCCUAAAAGCACAGGUAACAAAAGAAAAGAGAGACCAUUCAUCUAUUAGUUAUUAUACUGCAUCAAACUAAAAAACUUAUGCACAGUGAAGCAAACAAUUUCCAAAAUAAAGGGAAAGCCCGCAGGCUAAGAACAAUAUUUGCAAAUAAUACAUCUAUUAAGGGACUAAUAUCCAAAAUAUAGGGAGAAAUUAAAUAACUCAAUAAUGAGAAAACAAGUAAUUCUGUUAAAAAUAGGCAAAAAACUUGAAUAGACAUUUCUCAAAAGAAGACACUCAAAUGUCCAGUGGGUUAUUAAUAACAAAGCUCAAUAUCCCUAUCGCUAAUCAUUGGAGAAAUGCAAAUUGAAACCACAAUGAAAUACCACCGCAGGUCUGUUAGAAUGGCUAUUAUCAAAAAAAUGAAAUUUAAGUGUUGG